UUUUGCCUUCUGUGGUGUAGUUGGUAGCGCGUUGAAUUAGUAUUUAUAAGUCCUAGGUUCAAGUCCUGGUCGCGAGUAAAAA